GAGAAGAAUAAGAAAGGCGGCGGAUGCGAGGCGAGGGGAAGAGAUAGAAGAAGAAUAAAGAAGAGGAAGUAGUCCCCAUUCUCAUAUCCACAAUUCACAAAUUAGUUAGGCUUGGAUGAUCAGUUUGGUCCCUGUUAGCAUAAUACGCAGCUGAAUAGCUAUUACUGUUAGGUUAGGCUAGGCUGGAUUGCCAAUACUAUCUUUGUUUGUUCCUUGUACAUUAGGAUUGAUGGCUUCUCAAUCGGCGAAUGUUUGGGUGCUGCUCGGGCUGGGUAUCGCCGGCAUCUUGCUUCUUACCAGGAAGCUCAAGCACACUGUCAGACAGGAUUUGGGCGCUUUCAUUCAGAAGCUUCAGCUGCUCCCUCCGCCCCAGCCCGCUCCUCCCAAGGCUCCUCAUCCUCUCACCGCCCUCACUUUCGCCCUUUCCGACCUAUUUGACAUAGAGGGACACGUCUCCACUUUCGGGCAUCCUGAUUGGGCACGCACCCAUGAAGCUGCUUCUUCCACUUCUCCCGUAGUCUCCGCUCUCGUUGAAGGCGGUGCGACCUGCCUUGGUACCACUCUUGUCGAUGACCUAGCAUACGGUAUCAGUGGUGAAAAUAAGCAUUAUGGAACGCCAACCAAUCCUUCUGUGCCUGCUCGUGUACCUGGUGGAUCCUCUAGUGGGGCUGCUGUGGCUGUUGCCGCCAAUUUUGUGGAUUUUUCAUUGGGUAUUGAUACUGUUGGUGGGGUGAGAGUGCCUGCUGGGUUUUGUGGCAUUCUAGGAUUUCGACCUUCAUAUGGUGCUGUUCCUCAUGUGGGAAUUAUACCUAUUUCAACAAGUCUAGAUACUAUUGGUUUGUUUGCUAAGGAUCCUCAUAUUUUGUGUCGUGUUGGCCAUGUACUCUUACAAGCACCAUUUGUAACUCACCGGAAUCCCCGGCAGAUAGUUGUAGCUGAUGAUUGUUUUCAGCAUCUAAAUGUUCCUCUUGAAAGGAGUUUGCAGGUGGUGAUCAAAGCCACUGAGAAGCUUUUUGGAAGGCAAGUAUUGAAGCACAUAAAUCUUGAGGACUAUAUAAGUGCUAAAGUUCCUAGCUUGAAGGAGCACUCUAACCAGAAUACAAAUGGUGAACUGAAAUCUUCUUCAUUAAAAUUACUUGCCAACAUUGCUCAAUUCCUACAAAGGCAUGAAUUCAAACUUAAGCAUGAUGAAUGGACGAACACAGUAAACCCCGAUCUUCAUCCAGCUGUCUCAGCACAAUUACAUGGAAAGUUUGAGGUAUCCGAUGCAGAGAUAGAAAAGUCCAAAUCUGUUAGAAGUGACAUGCGUGCUGCUCUAAAUAUGCUUUUGAAGGAUGAUGGAAUUUUGGUGAUCCCAACUGUAGCUGAUCCUCCUCCAAAAUUGGGUGGGAAGGAGAUCCAGUCAGAGGAUUAUCAAAGCCGUGCAUUUAGACUGCUUAGUAUUGCUAGCUUGUCAGGUUGCUGUCAGGUCACUAUUCCACUAGGAUUUUAUGAUAAGUGUCCUGUUUCAGUGUCCUUAAUAGCUCGUCAUGGUAAUGAUCUCUUUCUACUGGAGACUCUAGAAACCAUGUAUACAACUCUUCAAGAGCAGGCAGAUGUUGCUUCCAAGGCUAAAUCAUCAAGAAAUGUUGUCAGUAAGGAAGAGUCUGCUGAAAUAGCAAAAGAGAAGGUCCUCUCAUCACCAUGGGUAACCUCAAAAUAUUCUUUGGAAACCAGGCCUACAAAGAUAAGCAGUGGCAGAAAGCCAUUGGGUUUUAUUCAGAAGCUAUCAAACUUAGUGGCAAUAAUGCAACAUACUACAGUAAUAGGGCUCAGGCUUAUCUAGAACAUGGGAGUUAUCUCCAAGCUGAGGCAGACUGUACAAAAGCAAUUAACCUUGACAAAAAGAAUGUAAAGGCCUAUUUCCGUAGAGGCACAGCUCGAGAGAUGCUAGGCUACUACAAGGAUGCAAUUGAUGAUUUUAAAUAUGCCCUUGUGCUUGAGCCAACGAACAAAAGGGCAGCUGCAGCUGCUGAAAGGCUGAGGAAGCUAUUCCAGUAGGCUUAUGGCUGUGAAAUUUGAACACAAGGUCGAAGAAGGACAAAAGAAAAGGGGUUGGGGACUUGGGGGUAGGGAGUAAGUGAUCUUAAUGGUCUUUGUAGGGAUGGACAGUAAUACCCCAUAACCAUUUAGGCCUUGAAAUGAUUGAUUGGUAUGCGGUCCUAGUUGCAGUGCGAUAAUCACACAGGAGUAAUUUGAUAUGUGGUUUCUUGCGGAAAAAAUGAUGAUGAUUCUUUUGUUGUUCACGGCAAAGGCUAAUUAUAGACGUUGAAACUUGAAAACGUGUAUUCUUAGGUGUUAUUGACACAGUGACGUGUUAUUUCUAUUUGCUAGAAGGAUCCCCAAUUUUGACCACGGUUAAUUUAGUUGUAUUGUAAUAUAGUAUCAGAUAUUAGUCAAGUAAGUUGGAUGCUUUUUACCAAUCAAUAAUUCUAUGUUGCUUAUUGUGCAUCUG